AUGCUUUCCACAUGACUUUGGUUAACCAAAUUAAAAAGACAAAAAAAAAUCAAGUAAUCAUUCCCGAAUGUUAAAUACCACCAUAGAAAUGAAUGACACAAACUCAUCAUUUGUUAAGCUGAACAUCCAACAAGCGAACCCUUUAUUCGUCCAAAUUCAACCCAGAAGCAUGGAUGCAGGGUUUUAUGGUUGAAGUCAUGUAGAUAGGUACUUGAUACUUGAUAGCAGAACAGUAUAAGUGUUGGUAAAUAUUCACAUUGUUGAGGAAACAGGAAAAUUGACUUGAGAUGCCCAAUGCCCCUCACCUAAAAUUGAGGAAAUAUCGAUCUGGGGAACGCCAUUCACAAUUCUAAACCAUUUGUGCCUCUUUCCACAUAGUGAAUUAUGCUAAUUAAUGAAAUAAACCAAGAAAAGCAAGCAUUAAACAGAAUCUAGUGAGAAAUUAUUGUAGACGAGCAAGAGAUUAC
rnacentral:misc_RNA from 1 species